rnacentral:tRNA from 1 species
AGGAUAAUAGUUAAAUUAACAUUAAAUUUGCAUUUUAAAAAUACUGUUUUCAGUUUAUCUU